rfam:Prevotella copri strain 2789STDY5834881 genome assembly, contig: SCcontig000528
AAGAGCCGUGUGAUGGGAGACUGUCAAGCACGGUUCCGAGAGAAGGGUGGGUGAAAUUCCCUCCACUUACUCGAC